rnacentral:tRNA from 1 species
GGCGAAGUGGAGAAGUGGUAUCUCGCCAGGCUCAUAAUCUGGAGAUCAUAGGUUCAAAUCCUAUCUUCGCAU